rnacentral:rRNA from 1 species
AGAGUUUGAUCAUGGCUCAGAACGAACGCUGGCGGCGUGGAUUAGGCAUGCAAGUCGAACGCGAAAGAGGGGGCAACUCCUCGAGUAGAGUGGCGAACGGGUGAGUAACACGUGAGAAACCUGCCUUCAGCAGGGGGAUAACACUCCCAACGGGGUGCUAAUACCGCAUGAGACCACGGGUCCGCAUGAACCUGAGGUCAAAGGUGGCCUCUGCUUGCAAGCUACCGGCUGAAGAUGGUCUCGCGUCCCAUUAGCUAGUUGGUGGGGUAAUGGCCCACCAAGGCGACGAUGGGUAGCUGGUCUGAGAGGAUGGUCAGCCACACUGGGACUGAGAUACGGCCCAGACUCCUACGGGAGGCAGCAGUCGAGAGGCUUUGGCAAUGGGGGAAACCCUGACCAAGCGACGCCGCGUGAGGGAUGAAGGCCCUUGGGUUGUAAACCUCUUUUGUCGGGGAAGAAACGCGAUCAGGUGAACAAUCUGGUCGUUUGACGGUACUCGGCGAAUAAGCUCCGGCUAACUCCGUGCCAGCAGCCGCGGUAACACGGGGGGAGCAAGCGUUGUUCGGAAUUACUGGGCGUAAAGGGUGUCUAGGCGGUUGAGUAAGUGAGAUGUGAAAUGCCCCGGCUCACCCGGGGACCUGCAUUUCAUACUGCUCAGCUCGAGUACGGGAGAGGAUGAGGGAAUUCCUGGUGUAGCGGUGAAAUGCGUAGAUAUCAGGAGGAACACCGGUGGCGAAAGCGCUCAUCUGGCCCGAUACUGACGCUGAAGCACGAAAGCUAGGGGAGCAAACGGGAUUAGAUACCCCAGUAGUCC